ACUUGUUUGAAAUUGUGGUUAGUGCGCUCGGCUAUGGAUCUGGUGGCGCAGGUUCGAAUCUUUUAUUGAUUA